UAUGUUCUGAGUGAAUGAAGGAAAUAAUUAGCUUAAAUUCAUUAUUUCAUCUGUUGUGGGGAUGGUUUUGAAGAUAUUUCCAUGAAAAUUGUUGUUCAGUGAGCACAUAGUUUAAAGCAUUUUCUCUGGUUUUAGUACCAGAGAUGAGCUGUCUCAUGAAUAAUUGAUUUGUUUUAUUUUGUCUAUAGAUUCUGAAAAUUAAAGAACUGUUUAUUUUUCCCUUUUUGUUUGGCUUUUAAGCAGGCCAGAGUGAAAUUUAGCAUUGAAUUCCAGCUGGUUAUGUUCAUUAACCAAGAUCUGUUUAUUCAGCUAACAUUUAUUGAGCAUUUGCCAUGUGGGAAACACUGUCCCAGGCGCUAGAGAUACAGGACUGAGCAGAGCUAGGCAAGAUCUUAUCCUAAAGGGGCUUAUAAUAUGCAGGUAGCUGGUAAUGAAAGAAUUACUCAAAUAAGUCUCACAGUUGCAAUUUGGAGAUAUGCUAUAGAAAAUAAGUCUGUGGGAUUUUGAAAACUUGGAACAGGAGGCUUUGUUCUGGUCAAAGUAAUGUCAGAGAGGUUAUCAGAAGAAGGGAUAAAAGUUAACGGGAUAAAGAGUGGAGGGAAGAACAUUCUAGGGAAAGGCUUGAGGUAAUGUUCUCCAGCAGAAGGGAGCGUGGUGCCUAGAAAACAUUCAAAAUUCGGCCAGUGUGCCUGCUGUGAAAAGAGCAAGGAGGACUGUGUGGAAGAUGAGUUGGAGGGGCAUGCAGAGGCCAGACUGUGCAGGAUUUCUUGUAAAACUUGCUGAAGAAUUUUGUCUUUAUCUGGAAGAACAAUGGAAAAUCAGGAAAGCUUUAAGAGCGGGGCCUUUCUACUCUCAAAGAAACAAAAAUCGUUGACUUUAAUGGGGAGACACCAUAUACAUGAUUUUAUAGUCUCGAUAUUUUGUAUAACCUAAUUUUUACUUCUGUAGUACUGUCUUUUGCUAAAUUCCCUAGAAAUAAGGCCAAAUCAAGAGAUUCUUGAGCAAGUGAUUUAUUGAAAGAGCGCUCUCAGGAGGCAGAGAGUAAAAGCUUAGGGGAAAUGGCUUAUCAGCAACUGGGUCCUAACUGGAGUCUAGCUUCAGCCUGAUUCCGAGGGAAACUCUGGGGCAUGCAGUGUAUCGCAGAGUUGAUCCCACCUUGAGGUAAGGGAACCAGCUGGAAUCACCUAGCAGCUGUGGGUGGGCUGGCCUAUGAGAGAGAUCGGAAUGGGGAACAAAACAGUGUCUACCACAAGCACUUUAUUUUCUUUUUCUUGAUUGGGAGGAGAUUUAAAAAUUAUUUAUUUCAUUAGUCCAAAUGCAUGUGAUUGACAAUAACUAAAAAGAUGUGCAACCUGUCUCCAGUUUUUUCCCCCAGAGGCAACCCUUAUUAAGAAUUUCUUGUAUAUCUUUCAAAAAUAAUCUCGCUCUCUCUAUAUACACACACACACACACGCACGCGCACGCGCGCACACACACACACACACAUAUGAAUUGAAGCAGAGUUGAUUUACAAUGUUGUUUGUUUCUGGUGUAGAGCAAAGUGAUUCUAUAUAUAUAUACACAUAUUCUUUUUUAUAUUCUUUUUCCAUUAUGGUUUACCCUGUGCUGUACAGUAGGUCCUUGUUUUUAGCUAUUUUAUAUGUAGUAGUAUGUAUGUGCUAAUCCCAAACUCCUAAUUUAUCCCUUCCUGACCCUUCCCUCUUUGGUAACCAUACAUUUGUUUUCUGUUUCAUGUAUUUGCUCUCCCUUUCUAUAAACCAACCUAUAGCACAGUAUGCUUGUUCUUUCAUACCUUGUUCUCUUAAUAAUGAAACUUAGCACCGUAUAUCAAAACAUCAUCAGAGCUGCAUCAUCGUUCUUAAUGGCUAUAGACUAUUGUAUUGUACCAUAGUAUAUUUUACCUUGAUUUGUUUCACUUAAUAUUCCUAUAUUAAGUCCUGUGUAUAUGUCUAUAAGCCACCUCAAAUACGUGGAAUAGAGUAGAAGCUAAAUGACUAAAACUACCAUAUGAGAUCUCAUGUCCUAUGGCAGUUAAUCUGAAAGACCAAUAUAGGACCUGGAAAUAUCCAUAUUCAAAGAGGGACCGUAUUUUUUUCCUGUAUGACCCUGUGGAGUCUAAUCAGUUAUGGGUAUUCAGUCAGUUCAUUAUGCUGUAGGUCCUUGGCUGAAACUCUUGUCAUUUCAUCAGAAUAUGGCAGAAGUCCCAAGCCAGUUUCAGAGUCUAUUUCAUAUGUUUCCAAAGAAUCCAUUAUGACUUUAGCUGAAGCUCUCCAAACUUUUGUACGGACUUUCGUUAUUGAUUUAAUGUAAAGCCUAAUCAAAUUCUACAGCUUAAAAAUAAACCAGCCUUAUCUAGAUUUAGCUCAAGGCCAAAAUGAUGGUACUUUUCCUCUAUAUCUUUGUCUUUGGAGAUUCAAUUAUCUUAUCUUAGUCAUGGUUUAAUGGAGCCAAAGGUCUGGAAUUGUUCCUGCCUAGUUGUGUUUGCAAAGUGAACAGCUGACAUUCUUACAAGAUGGCUGUUUUGAAAACUAAAGACAGAAUCUUGGCUUCUCCCCUGAGACUGCCUGUGUAUUCAUGAGUCACACACUGCAGAGACCAACAUGGAGCUGGAUUGGGAUAGGGUUGCUGGUGGUUCCCCAAGCGGAGCCUCCCUGCGAUCUUUUUCUAGUCAUUUCCAAAGGACAGAUGCUCUGUGGCCAAAUGCCAUGAGUAAAACACUUGGCCCUAAAUUUAAUGCAGCUCUGAGAUUCCUGUUUUUUUCUUUAUGAAGUCAUGCAGAUAGAGAAUAGUUGUCUGUUUUUUUUUUUAACUCAGAUAAGUGUAUUUCACCAAAAGAUAACAAUUACCCAGUGUUGUAUUGAAAAGGUAGCAAUCACAUAGUAUUUUAUGUAUUUUUAAAUUUGCUUUAUUGAAAUGUAGUUGAUUUAGAAUAUUGUGUUAAUUUCCACUCUACAGUUAAGGGAUUCAGUUAUAUGUAUAUAUAUAUAUAUAUAUGCAUUUUUUUAUUAUGGUGUUAACACAGGGUACUGAAUAUAGUUUCCUAUGCUAUACAGUAGGAUCUUGUUUAUAUAUUCUAUAUGGAAUCAUUUGCAUCUGCUAAUCCCAAAUUCCCAAUCCAUCCCUUGCCUCCUCCCCCACUUGGCAGCCCUAAGUCUGUUCUCUAUGUCUGUGUGUCUAUUUCUGUUUGGUAGUUCAGUGUAUUUGCAGACACAAUAUUUUAUAUUCUCCAGUGUCCAGUUUAAAACAAAGGUACUAUUGUGAGUCUUGAAUAAGUCCUUCAUUGUCAAAGGAUCAGUAGGUUGAGGCCAGGUGUUAGGUACCAAAUUGACAAUGACUCAGGUUUGUUUUCCUUCAUUUUCUCUUUGGAAGAGAUGAAAGUGAUGAGCAACGCCAACCACUUCAUCCAAAACUGCUCAGUGAAGGUACUGAAUAAGAGAUUAAUUAUUAGUAAAACUGAAUUUUUACCUUGGCACUGUGUCCCAUUGAUGGAUUAUGUAUGUAGAUAAUCAUUUCUUCUUUGCACUUUGUAUUAUUGACAGCCUAUUGGGUGCUGAAAUCCAUCCAAGAGGUAAUGCUUCAUGAUCCUGCACUAAGCCCCAGAUUUCUCAUAUAAAAAACAAUUGUGAGAUUUUUGUAAGGAUUCUGUGAGAUAGUUUAUGUAAAGCUCUUAGCACAAUGCAUGGGACAUAGUAAUCUCUUAUUCACUAUAUUUCCAAUAAAUAGUGAAUGAUUCAUAUGAGUGAAACACUAUUCAAGGUACCAGGGACAUAUGCAGACAUGGACCAUGAUACUUACAUUCCAGUUUGGGAAAACUAAUAAACCCAUAAUCAAGAUAUGUUUAGAGAGUCAUGAGUAUUAUGAAAAUAACUAAACAAGGUAAGGUGGUCAUGGAGUUCCCACCCUGUCACAGAUUCCUGCUACAGCAGCUUGAGUCACUGUGAAGGCAUAGGUUUCACCCUAGCCCUGCGUCAUGGGUUAAAGUAUCUGGUGUUGCUGCAACUGUGAUGUAGGUUGCAGCUGCGGCUUGGAUUCAGUCCUUGGCCAGGGAACUUCCAUAUGCUAUAUGUGCGCCCAUCAAAACAAAAAAAGAUAAGGUGGUCAAAAUUGAAUGGGAGAGGAGAGAAGGUAACAUGAAAUGGGGGGGGGGGCGGUACAUUGGUCUUGGGCUGUUUGAUCUCAGCUCCAUCUUCCACUCCCCUGUUGUGAUCUGUAUGGCCAGGUGGUUGUAGGAUGUAUUCCCCAAGCCCCUGUGUCCACUGAUUUCCAGAUAGGCUCAGUCAGUGGAGCCUCUCACAGGAGAUUGGAAGGGUGGAGGAAAGGAGAAACUGGGGUGUUUCUCCCCACCUCUCUCUGGUGACUGGGUCCUAGCAGUGGUGGCAUUUCUUUUGUGACUCUAGCUUCUGCUGGGCAUAUAUAAAGCUUCUUCCACCUUCCACUUGGUGACCCUAGCUCAUGGGAUCUAGUGAUGCCAGUUCCUUCCGUUGGCUUUCCAAGCUUGGGUGGACUAAGUUUUCCUAUUGUUGCAAAUCCUUACUUGGGUUGCCUUUCCUUGUUUGGCUUCAAAUGCUAUCCAUCACCUACAUCACUAGUUGGCUGUAUUAAAUUCUUUCUGUUUUAUGUACAUAGAAAGCUUUCUGCUUUCCUGGUUGGAUCCUGUCUUGUACAAGAACUUAGACAAAGUCUUUCUCAGAAGAUACCAUUUGAGAUGAAACUUGGAGGACAGAAGUGAUC
rnacentral:lncRNA from 1 species